rnacentral:misc_RNA from 1 species
GCAAACUUGGUCAUUUAGAGGAAGUAAAAGUCGUAACAAGGUAACCGUAGGUGAACCUGCGGUUGGAUCAUUAAAAAAUUUAUAAAUUAACGGUUUUUGGUGAGCCUAAGAAACUCUCCGAAUUCUCGUUAAACACCCUUGUGAACUUGUAAUUGUCUUUUGGUGGGGAACAGAGUAAAAUCUUAUUUUUCUAGUUCUUUUUUAGAAAUUAGAAAGAGCCCACCAUGUUUUUAUUAAACUUUUUAAGAAUAUUUUAUUGUCUUGAUUUUUUUUUAAAAAAAAGAAAAAUUUUAAACAACUUUUGACAACGGAUCUCUAGGCUCUCGCAUCGAUGAAGAACGCAGC